CCUACGGGAGGCUGCAGUGAGGAAUAUUGGUCAAUGGGCGCGAGCCUGAACCAGCCAAGUAGCGUGAAGGAUGACUGCCCUACGGGUUGUAAACUUCUUUUAUAAAGGAAUAAAGUGCGGCACGUGUGCCUUUUUGUAUGUACUUUAUGAAUAAGGCACGGCUAACUCCGUGCCAGCCGCCGCGGUAAUACGGAGGAUCCGAGCGGUAUUCGGAUUUUUUGGGUUUAAAGGGAGCGUAGAUGGGUUGUUAAGUCUGUUGUGAAAGUUUGCGGCUCAACCGUCAAAUUGCAAUUGAUACUGGCAGCCUUGAGUACAGUUGAGGUAGGCGGAAUUCGUGGUGUAGCGGUGAAAUGCUUAGAUAUCACGAAGAACUCCGAUUGCGAAGGCAGCUUACUAAACUGCCACUGACAUUGAUGCUCGAAAGUGUGGGUAUCAAACAGGAUUAGAUACCCGGGUAGUC
rnacentral:rRNA from 1 species